rnacentral:snRNA from 1 species
AAAUGUGAGGGCCAUCUGGCUGCGACAUCUGUCACCCCACUGAUGGCCAGGGUUGAUUCGUCUGAUCUGGCUGGCUAGGCGGGGGUCCCCUUCCUCCAUCCAUGUGCGUCCCUUCCGAAGCUGCAGCUGCCAGCUUUGUGGGAGNNNNNNNNNNGUUUGGCCCUCCCGAAGCUUCUGCUGCUCCCCUAAUAGAGGACAGGUCUUCAGUGAAGGGUAUAGGAGUAGCUGCUCUCCCCUGCUAGAACCUCUAAACAAACCUCUCAAGGACAAAGGGAUCACAAUGUGAGUGGCUUAAGUCGGAGUCACCAGCUCUGAGAAACACAGUGGUCUGAUUCUGUGU